AUGCACACACCCCACGCCCAGGGCAGAUCUGUGCUGCGAUGUGUUCUUGUGCCCAGGUGUUGGCGACCCCUGGGGAUGCAUAAUCCACCUUCAGCACCCAUCACAGCCACAGCCUGUUCCCAGCCAGACCUGGUGCUCAUGGAGCAGAGGACCCCCUCAGAUUGCACCCACCAGCACACAGCACUGGUACCUGAUGUCACACUGCCUGGCACCAGCUGCUCAACCCAGAGCACCACCACAGCACUGGGCUCCUCCCCAGAGCCUUCAGUUGGCAAAGAGCCGCACAGAAACUUUCCUUCCCUAGGAACAUGGUUUUACCCAACCAGAUUUGCACAGGUCAAGGUGGAGCUGCAGCCAAACUGCUCCCCCCAUUCCUGGAUCAGCCCCAUCCCUGCGUGCUCCCAUCACUCAUUCCCUGCUUGGGCUUUUCUGCAGAAAUAUCUGGAGGAUGACUGUUCUUCCUACAAAUGCCCAUGUUCACUUGCCAACUUGGAUGCAGAUGCAAAGUCCUCCAUUAGUCAUUUGGACUCCCAUUUUUCAUUAUCUUUUCCAUGGGGUGAUGCCAGGAACUCCUGGGACAAGUUCCUCACUGUUGAACACAAAGAUGCAGACACAACCUUUGAGAUCCUGUCCCGCUGACUGCCAGACUUACAAGCAGGAAAUACCAGCAGGGAUGUCCUGUCCCGUGCAGACAGCGCUGACCACGGCCUCUGCCAAGCCACUACAAUAGACCUCUCCCUGCAGCUCCCCGGGCCCGGCAAGUCUCCAAGAGAACAGCGGAGGAGAAGGCAGACAGGCUCCAAGCACGGUGCCAGGCUGCUGUGCCCACUCAGUGCAGCUCCCUCCCACAUCGCAUCCUCUCAUCCUUCCUUGCUUGCAGCUCUGCCCCAGGGUGGGGAGGGUGGCACACGGGGAAUGGGGGAUGCACCAGCGGGGCCAGAACUGCCCCUAUAGCUUUUGUGUUUGGAUAAUCUCUGCAUCACGUUGUGUUAAAGCAUCGGGCCACAAAAAGCACUGCUUCUGGCCCUGAAACAGCCACUGCUGCAGGGAAGUGACGUGCCGAGGACUCAGAACAGCUCUGAGUCCUGAAUGAGGAGGACCAAGUCCAUCUGAACGAGGAAAACUCCAAGCCCACCUUCCAGCUGCGCUUGCAGCAGCACACGUGGCUAUUUCAGAGCAGAGAGUACUUUUUUUUCACUGUUAUUGCUCUUGGAUUAUUUCUGCUUCUGUAAGCCCUGACAGCUCAGCCACCACCCAGGCCGGGAGGUGUUAGGAGGGGCCUGCAUGACACAGCUAAUGCUCGAGAACGCAGCUGAGCGUGGAUUCCCGAGGCUUGUCUAAAAAAGCACAUUCAGAGAGUUUCCCUCUUCCGCUGCUACUCCCUCUUCCUCUUUCACAGGAAACUCCAGCAGAGAGCAAAUAAAUAAUCCAACGACUAUCA
rnacentral:lncRNA from 1 species